rnacentral:rRNA from 1 species
UAUACCGAGGCCAACGAUCGAGCGGACUUGUCCGUGAAGUGACUGAACGAGGUUCCAGGAAAAGCCACUAAGCUUCAGCUAUAUACGACCGUACCGCAAACCGACACUGGUGCGCGAGAUGAGUAUUCUAAGGCGCUUGAGAGAACUCAGGAGAAGGAACUCGGCAAAUUGACACCGUAACUUCGGAAGAAGGUGUGCCCUAUUAGUGUGAAGUGAACAACGGAGCAUGAAUGGGUUGCAAAAAAUCGGUGGCUGCGACUGUUUAUUAAAAACACAGCACUCUGCAAACACGGAAGUGGACGUGUAGGGUGUGACGCCUGCCCGGUGCUGGAAGAUUAAAUGAUGGGGUGCAAGCUCUUGAUUGAAGUCCCAGUAAACGGCGGCCGUAACAAUAACGGUCCUAAGGUAGCGAAAUUCCUUGUCGGGUAAGUUCCGACCUGCACGAAUGGCGUAACGAUGGCCACACUGUCUCCUCCUGAGACUCAGCGAAGUUGAAAUGUUUGUGAUGAUGCAAUCUCCCCGCGGAAAGACGGAAAGACCCCAUGAACCUUUACUGUAGCUUUGUAUUGGACUUUGAACAGAUCUGUGUAGGAUAGGUGGGAGGCUUUGAAGCAGGGUCGCUAGAUCUUGUGGAGCCAACGUUGAAAUACCACCCUGGUGUGUUUGAGGUUCUAACCUAGGUCCAUUAUCUGGAUCGGGGACAGUGCAUGGUAGGCAGUUUGACUGGGGCGGUCUCCUCCCAAAGCGUAACGGAGGAGUUCGAAGGUACGCUAGUUACGGUCGGACAUCGUGACGAUAGUGCAAUGGCAUAAGCGUGCUUAACUGCGAGACUGACAAGUCGAGCAGAUGCGAAAGCAGGACAUAGUGAUCCGGUGGUUCUGUAUGGAAGGGCCAUCGCUCAACGGAUAAAAGGCACUCUGGGGAUAACAGGCUGAUACCGCCCAAGAGUUCAUAUCGACGGCGGUGUUUGGCACCUCGAUGUCGGCUCAUCUCAUCCUGGGGCUGUAGCCGGUCCCAAGGGUAUGGCUGUUCGCCAUUUAAAGAGGUACGUGAGCUGGGUUUAAAACGUCGUGAGACAGUUUGGUCCCUAUCUUCCGUGGGCGCUGCAGAUUUGAGGAAGCCUGCUCCUAGUACGAGAGGACCGGAGUGGACACACCUCUGGUGUAUCGGUUGUCACGCCAGUGGCAUUGCCGAGUAGCUAAGUGUGGAAGAGAUAACCGCUGAAAGCAUCUAAGCGGGAAACUCGUUUCAAGAUGAGAUCUGCCGGGGCCUUGAGCCCCCUGAAGAGUCGUUCAAGACCAGGACGUUGAUAGGUCAGGUGUGGAAGCGCAGUAAUGCGUUAAGCUAACUGAUACUAAUUGCUCGUGCGGCUUGACCCU